rnacentral:rRNA from 1 species
AUACGUAGGUGGCAAGCGUUGUCCGGAUUUAUUGGGCGUAAAGCGAGCGCAGGCGGUUUCUUAAGUCUGAUGUGAAAGCCCCCGGCUCAACCGGGGAGGGUCAUUGGAAACUGGGAGACUUGAGUGCAGAAGAGGAGAGUGGAAUUCCAUGUGUAGCGGUGAAAUGCGUAGAUAUAUGGAGGAACACCAGUGGCGAAGGCGGCUCUCUGGUCUGUAACUGACGCUGAGGCUCGAAAGCGUGGGGAGCAAACAGGAUUAGAUACCCUGGUAGUCCACGCCGUAAACGAUGGAUACUAGGUGUAGGAGGGUCCAACCUCCUGUGCCGCCGCAAACGCAUUAAGUAUCCCGCCUGGGGAGUACGGUCGCAAGAUUAAA